GGGGAGGUCUGGCAGUCACGUUUCAGGAUCUAAGGGUAUUGUUUCACUGCGACAAUUUGGGGGUUGUUCAAGCCAUUAUUCUGCUAACAGCCUCCUUGCCUCGCAGGCGGAUCUGGAGGGGACGCCUUGCCCAGCGGACAGUCUGGCAGAGUGACGGAAUGGGUCCGUAGAUCGGUUUCCACGGCCACCUGGACGCCAUGCUCCUGGUGGCUGUGCAUGUUGGGGUUUUGGUGAUUCCUAG